CAAAUCUCGCGAUUCCCAAUUCCAAGCCGAUGAAUGAUCUGUUGUUUUUCUUUCUUCAAUUCCAGUCGUAUCUGCGGAGUGAAAAAUACCCGCGGAAGUGAGCGAAACACGCGUUACAAAUACGUGGCGAAUAACAAAUCACGGCGUAGAAACAACAAAGUUAAACGGUCGUUGAAGGUGUCAUUACACCUAAUGUCUUGUUAUUAGAUUAAUUGCGAUAAUACCGCCUUGAUGCAGACAUUUUCUCACCACUCAUUACCAAAUCUUUCGCUUCGGUUGGCUGUUAUUGAACCAUGGCUACAAGUUCUUAUACUCUCGUCGCUAUCAUUGACCCCGAGUCAGGUCACCGAGAAAAAUUACACAUACUUAUACGUACGACGUGACGGAUAUCGCUGACCAUUCAAGCAAAAGGUCUAGUUGAGAGGAUAGCCUUCAAUGCUGAAGAAGAUACAAGGCCAGUCACACGAGAAACAGUAGCAGGAUUGAGAAAUAUUGCGGUCUUAUGGAACAUUACAUGCGAAAGAGCAGAAAAUGAUCGGCUUCUUGGAGAAAUGUGAAUUCUUCAUCAGCCUGCGUUGACGAGCUUUCGUAUUUAGCGCCGAUUAACCAAGUAUUGAAAUAAUUUUUUGUCACCACAUCCCAUUGCGCUUUAUAAUCACGUGACACGAUGCAGGCAAUUAAAUAAUCGUGAAACUUCAGGCUUGAUCCGUAUGUGAAAAUCCUUUCUCGAUUCUGACCGACAUUCAGGCGACUUGCUAACACCUGGAAUAGUCAUUAAAUCGCGCUUUGCCGUUCGACUUGACACCUUGAGCUAAUUACAUGAAAGCAAAAAGAAGUGCAGCAGGAACUGUAGGAAACUACUUAUUCAUCGUUGCAUCGACAAUGUAUGUAAUAUGUCGUGCCUAACCUUGUAGAUUUGCCCAUGAGUUUCACAAUCAGUUCCUUCAAACGCGUGUCUGUUAUUUACAUUCGGUUAUGCUUGAUUCUAUCUCUGUUAUUCCCCGCUCGUUUAACCGUAAAUCGUUUGCUUCGAGUCAGAGAUACGAAGGUGGUUAACAAUGGCGAACAGUAUGCGUGAGGUCGGAGACAGCAACUUUGUCUAUGACAACCUGUUCAAUGCGAGAGGAACUAAGUAACCAGGGGAUUCCCUGAAGACCGGUUUCAUCCAAGUCUUUUACAGUAAGAUGAACUCUUGAUCUUGGCUUUGCGUGAAACGCAACAUGGACCAAUGGCCGAGAAGGACGUAACCAUCGACUGACAGUCUUCCCUUCAAGAUACUUUUAUCACCUUGGAAACGACUCGAGCGGGAGUAUCGAGGCCGGAAUUGGUGGAAAUUGGUCAACCUCCCCUUGCUAGGGGUGGUUAAGAAUUAUUUUCUCAUAAUCAGCAAGUUCCCACGAGUCCUGUUCGCCAGUCGAACUGGUUAAUGUGCAGAACGACAAAUUGCAAACCCAAGUGGCCAGUCAUAGCAUAAAACCCGCAGAUUUAUGACGCCACUUUCCGUCGCCCGGUUAUUCAAAACGAGACCCAUUUUGCCACAGAACCAGCUAAAUGUACCGGAGCCGAGAUCCCGGGAUUCGAACAGCUGGGCCGAAUAAAAAAUCCUCCUCCAGAUCCGAUACUGUAACGGAAAUUUUUGUACGUACAUCUUAAAGCAAAUACAUCUCGCCAGAAAUUUCCGACCUUAGACAAAGACGGAGAAAGACGUUGACGGCGUUGUUCCCGAAGGCACUAUCGCAGCGUGACUCUGCAGUGACUCUGUUCCUAGGAAGACGGUCCCUUAUACCUACCGACCGCAUAGAUACUGAAUUACCGUAUUUGCAUGACGUAUACACGAAUGCGAUAAAUAAAUACACACUCCGUUGAGAUUCGUUCCCGGUAUUUCCAAGAUCUCUCAUUCGCACAUAGUCACAACUAAAUAUGUCACACACGUGCGUCUCCUUUAAUCAACCUUAUACCCACGUAACAUGAACAGUGGAAACUUCCGUUACACAGACCUGCAGAAUUUUUUUCUAGAAAAUGCUAAACAAAUGAGUUGGUGUGGUUCCAACGUAUUUUGAUGCAUUAAAUACGAUA
rnacentral:misc_RNA from 1 species